GGUCAGUGAUGUGAUGUAAAAGGUCUGAAGCUCAGAUCCCCCCCUUUGGUCAGUUUAGCUCCCAGCAGCCCCUGCUCUCUGCUUCCAUCAUGCUCUAGUGGUGCAGUGGUGGUCCCAGGAGCUGCUGACAGACAGGAUGUGACAUCACAAUAUGCUGAGUCUGUACAGAGCUGCCACAGGCUCAGUGUGAUGACUGACAUCCAACAGAACCAACCAGCACGGAGCAUCAGGCCGAGGAGGCGGGGCCUGAGUGCUGAUCUCACUCUUCUACUGAGACC